GGUCGGAAGUUCAAGUCUUCCCAGGCCCACCACACUCAUCGAGUGAGCAUUCGUCUUCUGGUUACGGGGCCAUAGCUCAGCUGGGAGAGCGCGUGCUUUGCAAGCAUGAGGUCGUCGGUUCGAUCCCGUCUGGCUCCACCAGAUGGUUUGAUCACCGACUACUCAUACCGUCGUCCGCGAAACAUCACUUCGCACUUACUAGUCCGGAUGGACAGUAAGCUGCGUGAUUUCUGACAUCGUAAAGAGGAGAUCGAUCCGAGUUGGAUCGGGCAACAAGUAAUUGUUGCGCGAUACUUCAUUAUCUCCGGAUCAUUUCGGCGCUCGUGCGUCUUCCAGGGUAGCUCACAAGGCUGCAUUGAAAGACGAGCGAGUUGUAAAUGAUCCUUUUAGCGAAGCUUGACCGCCUCGCUAUCGGAACGAUCUUACGAAGCAAGCUGGUCUUUCUAAUCAUUGUCCGGCUGCAGAUAGCGUUCAUCGAGGGCGCGUACCGCAAGGUAGUUCUGCAGACAACAUUCUGCCGAGUGUGUGGACAUUGAUAAUGAGAGC
rnacentral:tRNA from 2 species